UACGUAGGGUGCAAGCGUUAAUCGGAAUCACUGGGCGUAAAGGGCGCGUAGGCGGGCUCUUAAGUCAGGGGUGAAAUCCUGGAGCUCAACUCCAGAACUGCCUUUGAUACUGAGGAUCUUGAGUUCGGGAGAGGUGAGUGGAACUGCGAGUGUAGAGGUGAAAUUCGUAGAUAUUCGCAAGAACACCAGUGGCGAAGGCGGCUCACUGGCCCGAUACUGACGCUGAGGCACGAAAGCGUGGGGAGCAAACAGG
rnacentral:rRNA from 1 species